GCCCGGCUGGCUCAGUUGGAAGAGCACAAGACUCUUAAUCUUGGGUUGUGAGUUCAAGCCUCAUGCUGGGUA